UUGCUGUGAUGGUUACAUUUUUCGUCAACAGUAUUUCACGCAGUGAAUGGUGACAUCUCACGUCUGAGCAA